GGAAGCUUGCUUUUCUGGUUAGUGGCGACGGGUGAGUAACACGUGAGUAACCUGCCCUUCACUCUGGGAUAACUCCGGGAAACCGGGGCUAAUACUGGAUAUGACCUGCUCGGGCAUCCGAUGUGGGUGGAAAGAUUUAUUGGUGGGGGAUGGACUCGCGGCCUAUCAGCUUGUUGGUGAGGUAAUGGCUUACCAAGGCGACGACGGGUAGCCGGCCUGAGAGGGCGAUCGGCCACACUGGGACUGAGACACGGCCCAGACUCCUACGGGAGGCAGCAGUGGGGAAUAUUGCACAAUGGGCGAAAGCCUGAUGCAGCGACGCCGCGUGAGGGAUGAAGGCCUUCGGGUUGUAAACCUCUUUCAGCAGGGAAGAAGUGGCCGGGUUUUCUCGGUUGUGACGGUACCUGCAGAAGAAGCACCGGCUAACUACGUGCCAGCAGCCGCGGUAAUACGUAGGGUGCGAGCGUUGUCCGGAAUUAUUGGGCGUAAAGAGCUUGUAGGCGGUUUGUCGCGUCUGCUGUGAAAUUUCGGGGCUCAACCCCGAACUUGCAGUGGGUACGGGCAGACUAGAGUGUGGUAGGGGAGACUGGAAUUCCUGGUGUAGCGGUGAAAUGCGCAGAUAUCAGGAGGAACACCGAUGGCGAAGGCAGGUCUCUGGGCCACUACUGACGCUG
rnacentral:rRNA from 1 species